GACAUUUUUCUGUGCUUGCCAGCAUGCACUGAUCUGAUCUCUCUCCAGUGCCUUGGUGGCAGAGAAAACAUUCUAAGAUGUUUGAAAAAUUUAUUCAACCUCAUUUAAGCACAUGCCAGUUGGUAACAGAACAGCACCCACAAGAAUGAGCAAACCAGGACCAGCAAACCCCUUCCAUGGGACACACUGAGUGUCCCAAAAAUACUGGUCAGCUGGGAUUCAAAAGUCAUGCUUUGGCACUCCGGACUCAGCAAAAACCUCCUGGAUUCAGAUGGCAAAUGAAAGGUGAGGAGCAAGAAAAUGUAGCAGAGAGUUCGUUUUCGACCCAGUUUGUCUUUUCUCAUCUGCGCAGCAAAGCAGGAUACAGGUUAGUCCUCCACAGAAAUCAGUGCUUGGAGGUCAGAGUCAGUGUGGAGGAUACUCUGAAGAUCUGUGGCAACAUGUUACUCAGCUGGUAAAACAUUUCCUCAGAAAUUGUCUGGAAAAAAACCCAAAACACAGGAGCUUUCUCUGUUGUGGAAAUGAUGAAGGAUCAGAUAAGCACCAAUUCAAAAUACAGAGAAGGACAUAAGAAAGCAAAAAAGCAAACAGCCAACCUCAUAGGGUAAGUUUUGGAUAACAGCAUUCAAGAAAGUUAAAAAAAACCCACCUGGAACCUUGGGUGGUUUUCACUAGCAGAGACACUUCACCCCUUUUUAGGAUGCAAUCAUUUUGUCAAAUUAAGAUUUCUUCCACUCAUUUAGGAAAAAUAAGGGGGAGGGGAAGACCAGCUUCACUGGUUAGAAAGAUAUGCUGCAACCCUUUUGAUUUUAUUUUCAUUUAAUUUGUGACAGUCUCACUACAUGGGGCUGCUUAGGGCUUGGGCCUUUGCAGACCCAUAUCAUAAUCAGGUAAUGGAAACAGUAAAGUCCAUAUAUGUCAUGUGGGAAAAAGAUUUCAAACCAAAUUUCAAUGGGUAAUUCAUUAAGAAUUAGCAAAGUGUCUAACUCACAGUGCAUCUGUGCAAAUCCUAAACACUGGAUGAGCAGAUAUAAAUUUAAAGGCAGGUAACACAGACGAGAGACAUUUGAGUCAAUACAGCCAUCAAUAACCUCUCUAAGGACAUAAGCUCUGUUCAUAAAUAUUUGUUACACAGUUUACACUCAUUUCUACUUUUUUUAAAAAUUAUUUUUUCUUAAAUUAUGGCAAUAGAGACAACUGGACUGAGAUUACUGAAGGCAAAGAGUCACAUUUUUGUCACUGUUGCUGUGUGGACAACAGCAAUGGCUUCUAAGUUGAACCUACCAAGGGAGGGUGCCAGCUCUGGGAUUUUUAGCAAUGCCUUGCUGUUAGAGCCAUUUCAUUCCCCAGUUUAUAGCAGAUUCCAGUGAUCAGACAGCAAUACCUCAUUUGUCCUGAAUUCAAACUUGCCUGCUUUUGCCUUUCUCAGGUAUCAAAUCCAGUUUCUUUCCUUCAUUUAAUUUAAUGAUCAGAGCAGAGAGGUCCGUUUUGGUUGUUCUUACCAUAAGAAAAAUGAAGGAAAACAGAAUUCCUGAUUUUUUUUUUCAUAGAAAUAAUAAUGAAAUCUAAUGGCUUCAUUGAGAUUGAUACAGUCAAACUGACAGAGAGGAGAUUUUGAUGGGAUAUAAGGAAGAAAUUGUUCCCUGUGAGGGUGGGGAGGCCCUG